GGGCUGGCUUUAGCUCAGCGGUUCCUUCGACGGUGCAUUGCUUUCGAUCCUCUGCAUCUGGCAGAGCCGGUUCGAGACCCGCGGGCGCUCUCCAGCCCUUUU
rnacentral:vault_RNA from 13 species